GUGUCAGCAGCCGCGGUAAGACAGAGGCCCCAAGCGUUAGGCGGAAUCACUGGGCUUAAAGCGUGUGUAGGCGGAUCGUUAAGUGUCUUGUGAAAUCCCACGGCUCACCCGUGGAACUGCUGGGCAUACUGGCGAUCUUGGGCCAACUAGGGGCAGCCGGAACAAGCGGUGGAGCGGUGAAAUGCGUAGAUAUCGCUUGGAACGCCGAAGGUGAAAACAGGCUGCUGGGGUUGUGCCGACGCUGAGACACGAAAGCCAGGGGAGCAAACGGGAUUAGAUACCCCCGUAGUCC
rnacentral:rRNA from 1 species